GACGAACGCUGGCGGCGUGCUUAACACAUGCAAGUCGAGCGGUAAGGCCCUUUCGGGGGUACACGAGCGGCGAACGGGUGAGUAACACGUGGGCGACCUGCCCUCAGCUCUGGGAUAAGCCUGGGAAACCGGGUCUAAUACCGGAUAUGACUCCAUGACGCAUGUUGUGGGGUGGAAAGCCUUGUGCGGCUGAGGAUGGGCCCGCGGCCUAUCAGCUUGUUGGUGGGGUGAUGGCCUACCAAGGCGACGACGGGUAGCCGGCCUGAGAGGGCGACCGGCCACACUGGGACUGAGACACGGCCCAGACUCCUACGGGAGGCAGCAGUGGGGAAUCUUGCGCAAUGGGCGAAAGCCUGACGCAGCGACGCCGCGUGA
rnacentral:rRNA from 1 species